AUGUUGAAAAUAAAAUCAACCAGGUUUGUUUCGCAUGAUCAGUCCUGGCUUGUGAGAGAAAUUACAAUUACAUAGAUCAUCCUCAGUAUCCCAGUACACACCAUGUAGGUGAUAAUAUUCAUGGGUGUUAUAACUUUGAUGGUAUCGAUUUCCCCAUCAAGAUGCAGGACAUACAUAAA